rnacentral:rRNA from 1 species
UACAGGGGGGGCAAGCGUUGUUCGGAAUCACUGGGCGUAAAGGGUGCGUAGGCGGGUCUUUAAGUCAGGGGUGAAAUCCUGGAGCUCAACUCCAGAACUGCCUUUGAUACUGAAGAUCUUGAGUUCGGGAGAGGUGAGUGGAACUGCGAGUGUAGAGGUGAAAUUCGUAGAUAUUCGCAAGAACACCAGUGGCGAAGGCGGCUCACUGGCCCGAUACUGACGCUGAGGCACGAAAGCGUGGGAGCAAACAGG